rnacentral:lncRNA from 1 species
GAUCCAUAGGGGAGGAAUCCCCAAACCGAGUUUGUUGGUUGUUGUUCAACUCUCCACUUAUUAUCUUCCCGAAUACACUAACUUGAUCAAUCUGCUGCAUAAUUCUCUUUUUACCUUUAGACUAAAAACCAGUUACCUGAAAAUUGUAACCUUGAUUGCAACUAGCUUACCGCAGUUGUAAGGAACUACCGAGUACUGACAAUUUGUUCCUACAAUCCUAAUGGAAAGAAAAGGGGUGACUCCGUCAACAGGAGGAACAACAUGUACUAUGGCACACCAUUCUACGGCGGAUAUGGCUAUGCCUCCCCGGUGCCACACCCAAACAUGUACGCUGCAGCGUAUGGCACGUACCCGCUAUAUGGCAACCAGCAGCUAGUGAGCUAG